rnacentral:rRNA from 1 species
UUAAAGAAAGCGUAAUAGCUCACUAGUCGAGUCGGCCUGCGCGGAAGAUGUAACGGGGCUAAGCCAGUUACCGAAGCUGCGGAUGUGCAAUUUAUUGCACGUGGUAGGAGAGCGUUCUGUAGGCCUGUGAAGGUGUCUGGUAACGGAUGCUGGAGGUAUCAGAAGUGCGAAUGCUGACAUGAGUAGCGUUAAAGGGGGUGAAAAGCCCCCUCGCCGUAAGCGCAAGGUUUUCUACGCAACGUUCAUCGGCGUAGAGUGAGUCGGCCCCUAAGGCGAGGCAGAGAUGCGUAGCUGAUGGGAAACAGGUCAAUAUUCCUGUACCGAUCAAUAGUGCGAUGUGGGGACGGAGAAGGUUAGCUCAGCCAACUGUUGGAUAUGUUGGUUCAAGCCUGUAGUCGUGCCUGGUAGGCAAAUCCGCCGGGCUUAGAUGAGGGGUGAUAACGAGUCUGCUUGCAGACGAAGUGAGUGAUACCCUGCUUCCAGGAAAAGCCACUAAGCUUCAGGUUAAAUCGAACCGUACCCCAAACCGACACAGGUGAUCAGGUAGAGAAUACUAAGGCGUUCGAGAGAAUCAUGGUUAAGGAACUCGGCAAAAUGCCCCCGUAACUUCGGGAGAAGGGGGGCCCGACGUGUGAGACCCCUUUGCGGGUUGGCACGGAGGGCCGCAGAGACCAGGGAGAAGCGACUGUUUACUAAAAACACAGGUCCGUGCGAAGUCGUAAGACGAUGUAUACGGACUGACUCCUGCCCGGUGCUGGAAGGUUAAGAGGACCGGUUAGUAGUCUUUGACUGCGAAGCUGAGAAUUUAAGCCCCAGUAAACGGCGGUGGUAACUAUAACCAUCCUAAGGUAGCGAAAUUCCUUGUCGGGUAAGUUCCGACCUGCACGAAUGGCGUAACGACUUCCCCGCUGUCUCCAGCAUAGACUCAGUGAAAUUGAAUUCCCCGUGAAGAUGCGGGGUUCCUGCGGUUAGACGGAAAGACCCCGUGCACCUUUACUAUAGCUUUACAUUGGCAUUCGUAGUGGCAUGUGUAGGAUAGGUGGUAGGCUUUGAAGCAGGGACGCCAGUUUCUGUGGAGCCACCCUUGAAAUACCACCCUUAUCUCUAUGGAUGUCUAACCGCGACCCGUUAUCCGGGCCCGGGACAAUGUAUGGUGGGUAGUUUGACUGGGGCGGUCGCCUCCCAAAGAGUAACGGAGGCGCGCGAUGGUGGGCUCAGAACGGUCGGAAAUCGUUCGCUGAGUGCAAUGGCAUAAGCCUGCCUGACUGCGAGACUGACAAGUCGAGCAGAGACGAAAGUCGGUCAUAGUGAUCCGGUGGUCCCGCGUGGAAGGGCCAUCGCUCAACGGAUAAAAGGUACGCCGGGGAUAACAGGCUGAUGACCCCCAAGAGUCCAUAUCGACGGGGUUGUUUGGCACCUCGAUGUCGACUCAUCGCAUCCUGGGGCUGGAGCAGGUCCCAAGGGUAUGGCUGUUCGCCAUUUAAAGAGGUACGUGAGCUGGGUUUAAAACGUCGUGAGACAGUUUGGUCCCUAUCUUCCGUGGGCGCUGCAAGAUUGAGAGAGCCUGCUCCUAGUACGAGAGGACCGGAGUGGACGCACCUCUGGUGUAUCGGUUGUCACGCCAGUGGCAUUGCCGAGUAGCUAAGUGCGGAAGAGAUAACCGCUGAAAGCAUCUAAGC